GCGAAAUGUGAAAAACAUCAUGAAGUCGACUAGAGGAAGGAAGCUCCAGUUGAUAAACAACUUCACCAAUUCGACGCAGGACUUUAUAAGGUCCAUAAAACUUGGGAGAUAGCUUAGUGUGUUGAGUAUUGGUAAUUGAGAGACGUCUAUAGGGAAGGAGGCGCAGCCAUACCCAAUCACUUGGCUGAAAUUGUAACUCACGAUGGCCCUUAUCAUAGUACUCUUUCAUUCAGAGUUGUGCUUGUUGGAGACGUAAGCGUAUUUCCUCAAGAACUGAAUCACGAUCAACUAAAGCCUUAUCAACAGCAUCUACUCG
rnacentral:misc_RNA from 1 species